rnacentral:lncRNA from 1 species
CACAGUUCUGGAGACUGACGGGCAUGACAGUGCACUUGUUUGGCCUUGGUGAGGACAUCUCGGUGGAUGGCAUCUCAACAGAGGGAGUACAUACAGGUGAGAGAUCCUAUUCAGGAUAUACAUCAUCAUUUCAAAAGGGAAGAAAGGGGCAUAAUGAAGAAAUACUGGACUAAAGUAAGACCAAAAACCAGCUGGACAAACUCUAAACUCUGCUUUUCCAAGUCUGAUGUCAAAGUGCUCUUCAGAUCUCCAACUCCUUUCAGCUAUGUUGACUGCAACACACUUGUGUCUGUUGGGCUGGUUCCACUCCCUGUAAGCAGCCCUCCUCAGCAAGUAUUCCACAGAAGAUGCCAAAAUGCUCUGGCAUCUUCAGCAUUUUGGGGUCUCCAAAGCAAUCAGGCUUCAACUUCACAACUUCAUGGAAUGGCUUCUCUGGAUCUCCAUGCAGGGAUACCCCUGCCACUUGCUUAGCCUCAGCAGCUUUCCUUAGUCACAGAGGGAGAUUGCAUAACCUCUUUCUUGUAUCCUUGACUCUAAA